rnacentral:rRNA from 1 species
GAGCGCCCCUUCGGGGGAGCGGCAGACGGGUGAGUAACGCGUGGGAAUCUACCUGGCUCUGCGGAAUAACCUGAGGAAACUCGGACUAAUACCGCAUACGCCCUUCGGGGGAAAGAUUUAUCGGAGUUGGAUGAGCCCGCGUUUGAUUAGCUAGUUGGUGGGGUAAAGGCCUACCAAGGCGACGAUCAAUAGCUGGUCUGAGAGGAUGAUCAGCCACAUUGGGACUGAGACACGGCCCAAACUCCUACGGGAGGCAGCAGUGGGGAAUAUUGGACAAUGGGCGCAAGCCUGAUCCAGCCAUGCCGCGUGAGUGAUGAAGGCCCUAGGGUUGUAAAGCUCUUUCAACGGUGAAGAUAAUGACGGUAGCCGUAGAAGAAGCCCCGGCUAACUUCGUGCCAGCAGCCGCGGUAAUACGAAGGGGGCUAGCGUUGUUCGGAAUUACUGGGCGUAAAGCGCACGUAGGCGGAUCGUUAAGUGAGGGGUGAAAUCCCGGGGCUCAACCCCGGAACUGCCUUUCAUACUGGCGAUCUGGAGUUCGAGAGAGGUGAGUGGAAUUCCGAGUGUAGAGGUGAAAUUCGUAGAUAUUCGGAGGAACACCAGUGG